GUUUGGGUGAAAGCUCCCCCGCCUUGCUUAAGAAGAGGGCCUAUUGACAGUCUAGUCCAGGUCUGACUCCAUACAAUGGCCCUGUCAACCACAGGAUAACUUAAUACCUGGCUGUCACAAAGUUCGAACGUGCAGCAGGGUCGGCACACAGCGUUCACCAUCCCGUUGACCAGCUGCAGGAACAGGAUGAUGAACUCCAGCACACUCAGGCCCACCAGGAUGGAGAGCAGCGUGACGUCCCACUCCACAACGUUUACGGGCUGGAUGCACUUGAUCCAGCGGUCUCUGUCGAACAGAAACGCACCUGCCGGCGGUGUCGUCGUCGAAGGGGUAGGCCCAUCCCAAGCUGGUGAAGCAGUAGGGGCCCUUCAGUAGUCCCAGCAU